rnacentral:rRNA from 1 species
UACAGAGGGUGCAAGCGUUAAUCGGAAUUACUGGCGUAAGCGUGCGUAGACGGUUACAUAAGUCGGUGUGAAAGCCCCGGCUCAACCUGGGAAUUGCAUUCGAGACUGCGUAGCUAGGGUGCGGAAGAGGGAAGCGGAAUUUCCGGUGUAGCGGUGAAAUGCGUAGAUAUCGGAAGAACACCAGUGGCGAAAGCGGCUUCCUGGUCCAGCACCGACGUUCAGGCACGAAAGCGUGGGAGCAAACAGG